rnacentral:tRNA from 1 species
GCCGUUAUAGCACAAUCAGGUAGUGCGGCUGAUUUGUAGUCAGCAGGUUGCAGGUUCAAUUCCUGUUGGCGGCUCCA